rnacentral:rRNA from 1 species
CGAAGAACCUUACCUGGAUUUGACAUAUACCGGAAAGCUGCAGAGAUCGUGGCCCCCUUGUGGUCGGUAUACAGGUGGUGCAUGGCUGUCGUCAGCUCGUGUCGUGAGAUGUUGGGUUAAGUCCCGCAACGAGCGCAACCCUAUCUUAUGUUGCCAGCACGUUAUGGUGGGGACUCGUAAGAGACUGCCGGGGUCAACUCGGAGGAAGGUGGGGACGACGUCAAGUCAUCAUGCCCCUUAUGUCCAGGGCUUCACACAUGCUACAAUGGCCAGUACAGAGGGCUGCGAGACCGUGAGGUGGAGCGAAUCCCUUAAAGCUGGUCUCAGUUCGGAUCGGGGUCUGCAACUCGACCCCGUGAAGUCGGAGUCGCUAGUAAUCGCAGAUCAGCAACGCUGCGGUGAAUACGUUCCCGGGCCUU